ensembl:lncRNA
AUACACACUUCUUCUCCGUUGAUCAAUUAGUCUAUAGUUACCCAGCAAUCAUCACCAUCUACUGAGAGCCAUGUCUGUGCCCAGGGCAGUGCUAAUGCUGUUCUCACAACACUUUUGGUCUUGGCUGAGAAGUAGAAAACACACAGAGAGAACUUGGGUCCUUUGCUUGUGUGCAGUUGGCCCUGGCCCUGGCUGCAUCAAUGUCCUUCUUGCUUUCCCUGAUCCCAGCCUUAGUCACAGUUCAGUGACUCACCCUCCAGGAGCUGUUGGGAAGUACAGAUGUUGAGGCGUGUCCUUUUCUUGCAGGCCGGGACACCGUGCUUCUCCUAUAAGGCAGAAACUGACUUGGCAUUUGAACCAGUUUAAGGCACGAGGAGGAAGUGUUGACACAAAGCAGAUCACAUAUUAGAGACCAUCCCAAGGUCCCUUGUGACCCUUGCAUGUGCUUGUCAUUUUCAAGUUGAGUAGGGUGGUGGGCAGGUUUUUGACCUUGAGUAUGAACUCUGACAUUCUAUCUCUGCCCCACUGUUACUGGGUAUGUGGCUGGCUGGGCAGGAUACUCACUGCCCGCUCUGAAGCUUGACCUCUUCCUUGGCAUAGGGUUUAAAUGAGAUAAUGAUAAGGAGAGGUCUGGUGCCUCACAAAUAUCCAAUAAUUAGACAAAUGGGAUAUAUAUAUAUAUAUAUAUAUAUAUAUAUAUAUAUAUAUACACAUAUAUAUAUUUAAAUAUAAAUAUAAAUAAAUAUAUAUAAAUAAAUGUAGGCUUGGCUUUUGUCAUCAGCUGUCACCAGGACAGAGUUCUUUCUUGGGCUUUCCACCAUCUCUGAUAUCUUCUUCUUUUUCUUUCCUCCUAAGUCCACCCGCAAAUAUGAAACACGUAGACACAAACUCCCUACAGAAAUGCUUGUGAGGGUUGUUAACUCAGCCAUUUUCCAUUAGCAAAAUUAAAUAGUCCAGAGACAUCUGGGAUGCAUGCUUCGGGAGUCUGCUCUGUGCUGGCGCUUUAUUUUCAAGCACGAUGUCCUUGAAAAAAAAAAAAAGGAGGGCUCCUGAGCCUGCUGGGACUUUCUCUGCCCCCUCUCUCAUUUUUGCUCCCGAAAAGCACAGCCGAGGAACACUUGGGUGGGCUGGUAAUGAAAAUAUAACCCUGGCUGGGGACAACUUUCUCUCUGCCAGCUCUCAGGCCUGUGCAAGGAGCCCUGAAUCCCUAGGGCAGGGAUCUGGUCUGGGAGUGGCUCCUGGAACCUUAGUGUGCCAUGGGGGAGGAGCAUCUAGGCUGCACUGGACACCCCGCUGAGAAGGGGUCAUUCGGGUGAAGCCUUUUUCCAUUAGAGGCUUGUAGACAUUUACCCUUGGGUCUCUGCUCUAGCGUUCUCCAUGCCCAGGCAGAUCUGAAGGGCUACAACAGCAUGUGUCAGCUGAGAUAUGACUCAGCUAACAGAGUGGGCCUCCUGGGGCUCUGGAUGAUGCAAAUCCGCCUGGCGAUUCUGCCCUGUGCUCGUGGGAGAGGAGAUGGGAAAACAGGAAAGAUGCUGUCGUCUGAUGAAACCAUUGACCCUCAUCAGCCUCGUGCCUCAACCCUCAGAGGGGCUGCUUCAAGGUUAGCUCUCACAAAUGCACGGGGCUUUUGAGGUCAUCUCCGGUGAGACUUUACAGACCUGGAGUCUGAGGCGCAGCUAGACGAAGCGACGUGCGGAGUGACUGGUUCUUUAGGUGCAAGUUCACCCGCAGCUGUGUGGAAGGGUGGGGAGCACCCAUGCUGUGCCAGGCUCACCCCUGCUUUAUGGUGUCUCAUCAAUCCAGUGGUAAAGGAGAAGUGAACAGCCCUGGGUGCUGUCGGCGUGUUCAUGGAUUCAAAAAGACUUGGGUUUUGGAUUUUAUGCGAAGUGCCUGACGUUACUACUCAUCCUGCAAACAGUGCUGGGGCUGUCAAACCCGUCACCAUGCCUGUGGCCUGUGAGAACAACAACCAACUGCGAAUUAAAGGACUUACCUCUCCCUGAGACAUCUUCAGCUGUGAGCUAACCCAUUUCUGCCUCUGGCUCUACCGUCCUCUACAUCGUCUUCCUGUCUCUCUCUGCCAGGGUCACAGAUGCUGCCAGGGGAGUCUCCAGGCAGCGUGUUUCCAUCCUCUCACUGUGGUGGACCCGGAUCUUGGCAUCCUGUCUGUAACUAUGGAGUGGAUGAUGGUGUUACUGCUAGGGCUCUAUUGCGAUAGAAAAGUCAGUGGAAGCAUGGUGAGGCAGGGUGCUUAAGCCCACCUAUCUGCUAGCUCCCUCCCCCCAUGAUUCCAGUAUCUGUGGGGGACCAAAAUAUUUCCGCUAUGGAAUAUUUUGAGAUCCAGCCUUGGGUUUCACUAAACAGGAACACCGGAAAGCUCCAGCCCACUAUUGUAUUGUUAAUGCCAGUAAGGCUACUAUUGUUUACCAUGGCCUCAGGGUAACAGGCCUCCUAGUUUUGCAUCUCUGUGGGCCUAAGCAUCUGAGUAGGCCUUACCUGGGUGGAAGGGCGAGAGGUGUGAGUGACCAGGGAGGACAGAGGAGUUAAGGGUGAGCGACCAGAGGAGAGAAGAGAACAAGAAGAGAAAUGGUUCCCUCGUGGUAAGGAAAGGAUGGUUAAGAAACAGCAGAAAAGAUGGCUAAUAAAGAAAUGACUCUAGUUCUACAACAUGGAACUGAGAGCUCUCUAAAGAUGACAAGAUGCCUGUGUUUAGUCUUUAUCGCCGCUGGGUUGCUAGGAGUUUCAAGGUCCCCACCCCCACCCCCUCCACCCCUGCCUGCCUCCCUCAGGCCGGACCUCAUGGAUUAAAGCUGAGACAUCGUGGGACAAGUAUCCAUGGACACGUCCUUCUCCAUGCAGGGAUGGCCUUAUCAGGUGUGAAGUUUCACCAGGCCACCUUUCUCCUACUUUCUUUCAGUUCCCUUAGGCCACCCUGAAGAAGCAAGUUCCUGCUUCACCAUCUUGCAGCCCUCUUUUAUCAUCUCUCCCUAUUUCUUUUUCCUCCUAGCUCUCUACUGACUGCGUUCCUCAAGGUUCUAGAUUAUGAGAUCUUAUUUCAGUAAACUUAUCCAUGUCGAACACAUUCUGAGCCAACAAUAACCAGCUUGCUAAACCUGAAAGUCAGCUGAAAACUUCGUCCCAGGAAAGGACCAAAAGGAACACCCAUUGUGUAAGCCGAGGUUCGUGGUAACUUCUCCAUGACACUACAGAGUGCUUUCUGUGUUGGACAUAAAGAAUAGCUAACACUUUUUCAAUCUGGUCACGCAGCUUCCUAAGUUUUUGAUAAAGAAGACUUGAGAGGGAAGACUUCUGAGUAAGCCCUGGGAAAAACAGAUCUUCCUGUGUGACAGGGUUUUUGUAAGGCGGAGCUCAGCCACUGACUAGCCAAGACACUCUGAGAGUUCACGUAGCCUCUCUAUGCCUCAGUUUCUUCCGUGGUAAUUUCAGGGUAGCAGAAAUCUCCAUAUCCAAGAUUGCUUUGCAAGUAAAUGAAUUAAGAGAUGAAAUCAUUUAUGAAAGCGCCCAGAAGACAACAAGCAACAUCAUUAUGUUGAGACCAUUAUACUAAUAGAAUAAAAUGAUGAACUAAACAAGGCCUUUCAAAAGGUUUCAUUUACCCAUAGACCCUGCAGACGCCAGACAAAGAAUACAGUGAAGUGAAUGAAAAUAUUCACUCUGUUUAAGACCUUCAGAUUCUGGUAAAGGAAAUACACUAAGAAACAAUCAAUAAUGAUAAAAUCAGUAAAGAAGAUGGAUUCAAGGUUAAUCAUGGUGAUCGUUAAACUUCUGUGUCUGCUUGGCAGGGUCACUGGGUGCCCAGUUGUUUGGUGACCUUACUGUGAAGUUCCCUAAGAGAAUAUGUUGGGAGGAGAUUAGCGUUUGCAUUGAUGGACGGGAGAAGCAGUUUGCUUUUUAACUCAUGGAACCAAAUGAAACCUGAACAGAAUAAAAAGAGAAAAUUCCUCUUGCCUCACUGCCCUGGAAACUGGACACAGGCUUUCCCCUUGCCUUCCAAUCUCAAGAUGAGAAACUGGCUUUUUCUCAGCAUCUUGCCAAAGUCUCAUGUCAGUGACUUGAAUCCCUCGGCCCUCCCCUUAGAAGACAACACAACAGAAUCUGGUUGCCUGCUUCCUAGCCUGUCACAUAUGAGCAAACUGAGGGCCAGAGAGGACUGUGGUUUCAGAAGCAUGAAGCUGUCAACCAACAGGAAAGCCUGCCACAAAUCUAUCUGGGUUGCCCGGCUCUUGGAUUCUUGGCUAUAAGUUGUGAUGUAUUGUUUAUGAUCUAAUAAAGCCACUGGAGAUGAGUUUGCAAAGCCAGCCACACUAGUUAGCUAUAGAAACUACUUGGUGGAGGCACAUACCUUUCAUCCCAGGGCUCAGGAUUAAGAGGCAGACGAAUCUCUAAGGUUCAAGGCCACCCAGGGCUACAUGAGAUUGAAUCAGUCUAAAAGGGUAACAGAGCUCAUGACUUUAAUCCUAUCAUUAGAGAGGUAUAAAAGAUAGGAGCAGAAUCUACAGUAAUCAGUCUCAGGACUCUCUAACCACGCUGAGGAGAGGCAGCAGGAUCAGCCCUUUCAGCCUGAGGUAGAUGUAAGAGGUAGUGGCUUGGCUGCUUUGCUUUUCUGAUCUUUGGUGGCUUUAUUAGAUCAUAAACAAGGUAUUAUCACAGCUAUAGGCCAUAGAGUGUGAGCAUGGGGCAUUUCUUUGAAAGGGAAAUUGAUGUCAUGACCAGAAAAGCAGAGGACAAUAUUGGAAAGUCAAAUUAAAAUAUCAAAGUACUCAGAUGCCCACUUUAUAGGAGAAUCAAGCUUGUUGAGACAUUGAGAUUUUUGGACUCCUUUCAGGCAAGGACUUCCAAAUGCUGUCCUGGACUCACAGGACACCUGGGGUGCUGGGGCAAACUGACCAAGCAGACUCCAAAAGUCGUGAAUAACCCUGAAAGCCAGCAGCUCUGGGCCCCUCCAUAUCCACCAGGGGUGGUAUCUGACUCACUGUUAGGAGGCUACGAUUUUUGUGGCUUUUGUAUUACUUCAUCUCUAAGAUUCCAAGGGGGGGGGGCUACAAAACCAGUAAUGACAAUUUGCUCUUUAACUCCAUCAUCGUAGUGUAGGGACAGUUAAUGGAUAGUGUAUUUAUCCAUUCAGCUGCCAUAGCAAAAAUACCACAGACUUAGUGGCUUAUAAACAAAAAUUUAAGAGGCUUCCCAUUCUAAAACCAAGAUGUUAGCUGCCCAGUAAGGCAGGCACCUUAAAGUACACCUUCAAAGUGUCUUCCUUCCUCUUGCUUUUCCUGCUAAAACAACUGAGUAUAUGCUCAGGGACAUAAAUAUCCCAAUCUGCUAUUUUUAACCUUUUCAAUGCAUGGCCUUGAGUUUACACACUCUCCAAAGACUCUACUCUUUCCUUCUCAAACUGUGACCAGAAGCUGAGGGUGACCAGGAAUGUGACCUUAACUGAGUAUGCUCAGGGAUGUGCCCAGGUCUGAAAUGGUUCCCCAAAGAAUUUGCAUAGGCUUUCUAAAUAGAAUCCCCAUGACUCCCUUGUUUGAGGACUUCGUUUUGGAAAUGACUCUUGAGCCCUCCUUCGUUCAGGUAAUGCAUCUUUCUCCAGUUGGUUCUUUUGUUUCUUUGUUUUGUUUUGCUUUUUUGGCCAUUGGCUUUGUUCUCCCCUAGAUGUGAGCAUAUAGCCUUAGGUCACAAAGGCUACUAGAAUAAUUAUCUAUUGAGGAUCCCCA